AGUUGGAAGUGAAAUUCAUUUUGUCGACAAUGUUGUUGGCGGUUAGUUGCUUGCUUGUCAAGUGAUUAUUGUUAACAUUAUGUUGUCGUCAAUGCACUUUUCACUUUCACGAUGGAGCUCUGACUCUUAACAGUCAACUUGAUUGUUUAGUGCAACCUUUCAUUGUGGUUGAGUUUACUUCGGUAUUCUCAUUCACUUCGAGAGGAGAUAAUCAAGUUAUGGUUAAGRGGUGAAUUUCUUGCAAUUGCAAGUUUUCAGGUCGUCAGUUGAUUAGGUGUA
rnacentral:rRNA from 1 species